UAUUGGUAGGUCAAAAAAUUAGCACAAAAACCGACAGCACGAGCCUGCAAUUCCGCAGCGGCCUCGCUACUAAAAGCAAUAUGGCGGCCAAAGAAGAAGACGAUUAUAUGUCAGAUGCUUUUCUUUUGGGGCUGGAAGACACCAGACCUGGGCUUGCCUUUGGUGUAGCCGCUAGAGAGUACAAGAAAGAAGCUAAGAGAAAACAGAAAGAUGCACAGAACAAAACAAAGCCUUUGAAAGAACGAGAAAGCGAACGCAGGGAAAAGGCAUUGUCAAAUGCGAUAGAUAGUUCAAACAAAGGCUUUGCUCUCUUGGCGAAAAUGGGUUAUAAAGAAGGAAAGGGACUUGGAAAACAGGGAGAGGGUAGAAAAGAGCCUAUUCCGCUGUCAAUCAAGGAAGGUCGAGGAGGUUUGGGACAGGAAUCGGAGAUGAAACGAAAACAGGAACUUCAAGAGAAGUGUUUGAAAGUUGCACGAGAUAAACGAAUAAAACUUGAAGCGAAACAACGUGAGGACUUUAGGGAGAAACAGAAGGAAAUAUUUUCAAAUAAACUUGUCGAAAAAGAUUUGUUUCAAAGUCAAAAGGCAUGCGAACAGCUAGAUAAGGCUGAGAACAUGAGCUGCAAGGAAGUUUGGUUCUGGCCUGAAAGGUUGAAUGAAAAUGAAGAUGAUGAAAAUGAUGAAGUGUAUGAGGAAGAAGUGGAAGAAUUGGAGAGUUCAGAGAAACUUGUCAUACUUACAGAAUAUCUUAGAAGAACUCAUAAAUAUUGUAUUUGGUGUGGCACAUCUUAUACAGAUGAAGAGGACUUGGAUACGCAUUGUCCUGGAGAUACAUCGACCGCUCAUGAUUGAUGAGCAAUGACGAGAAAUUACACCUUCAGCAUUAUCAGCUAGCAAGAUCACGUGGAGUUUUACUUCAGUUCCAAUUACAACACCAUGCAGAGUUGUCGCUUUCACUGACCAAGGAGAUGUGUAUGAGAACACGGGACAUAUGGGAGUAAUGAAGAACACGGA
rnacentral:misc_RNA from 1 species